UGGCAGGCGGUCUUUCGAGUUAAUUUAACCCCAGGAUCGGAAGGAAAUGGACAACCUAGCUGAAGGCAUUUCUUAGAGGUGCAAUGCCUGAAGUGCAGUUCCAUGGUGAGAAGUGACUGCGUCUAUAACUGUGUGAGAACCUCCAACAACACGUGCAUUCUUUGCAAGAGAAUGGACAGCAGCACAGCCCAAAGCUUCCAUGGGUGACUUUGUGACAAUUUCUUGAGUCUGUAGAUAAAUACCAAGCUGCAAAACGUGGCACGAGCUGCAAAACCUACCAUGAAGCUGAGCUCUGCACGCUGUACUGAAC
rnacentral:lncRNA from 1 species